UACGUAGGGUGCGAGCGUUGUCCGGAAUUAUUGGGCGUAAAGAGCGCGCAGGCGGUCGUUCAAGUCGAGUGUGAAAGCCCCCGGCUCAACUGGGGAGGGUCAUUCGAUACUGAUCGACUCGAAGGCAGGAGAGGGAAGUGGAAUUCCCGGUGUAGUGGUGAAAUGCGUAGAUAUCGGGAGGAACACCAGUGGCGAAGGCGACUUCCUGGCCUGUUCUUGACGCUGAGGCGCGAAAGCUAGGGGAGCAAACGGGG
rnacentral:rRNA from 1 species